GGAAGGAUACAGCUCAGUGGUAGAGCUCAUGCUUGGCAUAUGCAAGGUCCUGGGUUCAAUCCCCAGUACCUCCA
rfam:Camelus ferus unplaced genomic scaffold scaffold693, whole genome shotgun sequence.